rnacentral:rRNA from 1 species
AUUGAACGCUGGCGGCAGGCCUAACACAUGCAAGUCGAGCGGAGCGGCGGACGGGUGAGUAAUGCCUAGGAAGCUGCCUGGUAGAGGGGGAUAACGUACGGAAACGGGCGCUAAUACCGCAUACUAUCAGAUGAGCCGAGGUCGGAUUAGCUAGUUGGUGGGGUAAAGGCCUUCAAAGGCGACGAUCCGUAACUGGUCUGAGAGGAUGAUCAGUCACACUGUAACUGAGACACGGUCCAGCCUCCGACGGGAUGCCGCAGUGGGGAAUAUUGGACAAUGGGCGACAGCCUGAGCCAGCCCUGCCGCGUGUGUUAAGAAGGUCUUCGGAUUGUAAUGCACUUUAAGUUGGGAGGCGUUCCCAACAGAAUAAGCACCGGCUAACUUCGUGCCAGCGGCCGCGGUAAUAC